rnacentral:rRNA from 1 species
UACGUAGGGUGCAAGCGUUGUCCGGAAUUAUUGGGCGUAAAGAGCGUGUAGGCGGCUCGGUAAGUCCGCUGUGAAAGUCCAGGGCUCAACCCUGGAAUGCCGGUGGAAACUGUCGAGCUAGAGUCCGGAAGAGGCGAGUGGAAUUCCUGGUGUAGCGGUGAAAUGCGCAGAUAUCAGGAGGAACACCAAUGGCGAAGGCAGCUCGCUGGGACGGUACUGACGCUGAGACGCGAAAGCGUGGGGAGCAAACAGG